UCCCUGGUGGUCCAGUUGUUAGGACUCCACCCUUUCACUGUCAAGGGUGUAGGUUCAAUCCCUCCCCAGGGAA
rfam:Ovis aries breed Texel chromosome 2, whole genome shotgun sequence.